rnacentral:lncRNA from 1 species
GGGGGAGUGCAAUCUCAGGACAGCAAGAGAGCAGGGGAAACGGAAGUGAGACCAAAGAGGAGGGAAAACAAAUACAAGGACACAUCAGAUGUUUGCCUUCGCAUACCAUACAUUCUCAAAGCAUGCAGGACAUGGAGACUCACCCCAGGCGCAGCUGUCGCAAAGCUUCAUCCGGCUACAGCUUCUUUGACCCUUCUCUAUUACACAGGCUCAUCAUGGUCAAAGACUUCUCUCCCGCAUCACGGAACUUAGAACUUGAUUCUGAAUUCCCACUCUUUGUUUGCCAUUGUGGCACAAGCCUUCUCUCCACUAGCCCGAUGGUCUUCAAUGUGCUCUGACCCCCACAGUCCCCAAGAGUCCUGCUGAAAAUAAAUACAACCUGCCCUGUGUGUCUCCACCACAAGAGGAGCAGGCGGCAGGGCUGCACUAUCAACCGGAUCUCUUUGUUUUCUUCUUCUGUUUUGAAUCCACACCUAAAAUGGGACAAAAUCUACCAGCCAGAAUAACCUGAUUGAGAAAUCAGCCAUAACUGGUUUUCUUGGCUGUAGACUCUUCAGGAAAGAAUGUGAAGUAUUUUUCCCACAUCCUCCCAGGAGGGCCACCAGGGGCUCCAGUCCUGGAGGUCGAGGAGCAUUGGAGCUGGUUCUGCAGUUGGGGAGUGGGAGUAGCCUUACCUGUCGGACAGUGACUUCCAGUAUCUGAGAAGAGGGUGGGAGAUCAUGAGCGUCCACAAGUGGCAGAAGUUGAGAUCCAAAUGGAACACACACACCCUCCCACCUCCCAGGAUGGCAAAACCUGGUACAGAGAUGGCUGUAAGGAGGAGGCUGGAAGAAAGACCACUAAGUGGCCAGUUAUUGGGCAAAGCCACUGUGAGUGGGCAGCUCACCAGCCUGCCUGGAGAAGCAGUGCCCACAGACAGGAAGCACCAGCAUUCAGCAAGGAGCACAAGGAGCAACUGUAACUGUGGCCAUCUCUACUGAAUAAGGACCAGCUGCCCCAGUUCUACAAGAUCGAGUCCUUUGCUUGUUUGGGAGAUUUUUUGUGCCUUUUGUUUUUGUAAAAUCCAACGUUCCGAGGGAAGAAGCCCUAAUAAUGACAUUAAAUUUCUCACUAACUGUGGAUGGGACUUGGGACCAGAUUUAAAUAAACUUGGACAAAUAAAGAACAUUGGCAUUUUGUUUCCCAUCAAGUGUCUUGGAGCUAUUCAUUCCUCACUUACAUGUGACACCAUGAGGGACAUUCAUGUG